GCUCGGUUGGAUGUUCUCGGUGGGAUUCGAUAAACGUUGACUUCAGGUUUGACACAGAUGACCGACUCGUACUCGAACUGACCCUCUGUCGCCAUCUUGACUUUUACUCAGUCGGUGCACGCCAGUGGUGGUGGUGACGAAAUAAAGGCGAGAGACAAAGAUCCUGAGGCGAAGAUUGGGCAUCUGGCUGAGGAACUGACACAAUCUGAUGGAGCAGUUAGCACAGGGAGACCAGGAGCAGAACCAGGUGAUGGAAUAACUGAGCCUCCUCUCUCCAGUACCUCCGUACCCCCAUAAACCAGGACACAAGGCUCCCAGGCCCUUCUCAUAUGCUCCCCCAUCUUGACCCACAUUACUUACCUCUACAUGGCAGCCAUUGCGAUUGCGGAGGUGUCCAAAGUCAAAGGAUAAGGAGUCUGGCCCCACUCGCCUUUUUACUACAAAGCAGAGGGUGAAGGAAAGAGUGAGGAGUGAGAGACGGAUAGGAGCAGGAGAGAGGUGUUGUCCAGACCAGAAGGGGCCUCUGAAAGUGUUGCAUAGAAACACAAGGUAUUGAGCAAGGAGGUGUUGGUGAAGAAGAAGAGGUAGCCAAAGGUUUGGGAGGUGAGCGGCGGGGAUAGACACGCCUCCCGCGACAGCAUCAGAGAACAGCGAUACACUUCCACCAGCCCGGCAACUUUAGGC